AUUGAACGCUGGCGGCAGGCCUAACACAUGCAAGUCGAGCGAGCGGCGGACGGGUGAGUCAUGUAUGGGGACUGCCCGAUAGAGGGGGAUAACUACUGGAAACGGUGGCUCAUACCGCAUACAGUCGGACAACCCCGAUGGGAUUAGCUAGUAGGUAAGGUAACGGCCUACCUAGGCGUCGAUCCCUAGCUGGUCUGAGAGGAUGAUCAGCCACACUGGAACGGAGACACGGCCCAGACUCCUACGGAGGCAGCAGUGGGGAAUAUUGCACAAUGGGCGCAAGCCUGAUGCAGCCAUGCCGCGUGUAUGAAGAAGGCCCUAGGGUUGUAAAGUACUUUCAGUCGGGAGGCGUUACCGACAGAAGAAGCACCGGCUAACUCCGUGCCAGUAGCCGCGGUAAUUC
rnacentral:rRNA from 1 species